CGUUUUUUUUUUACCCGCGUUGGACUAAGCAUAUCAAUAAGCGGAGGAAAAGAAACUAACAAGGAUUCCCCUAGUAACUGCGAGUGAAGCGGGAAAAGCUCAAAUUUAAAAUCUGGUGGUCUUUGGCCAUCCGAGUUGUAAUUUAGAGAAGCGUCUUCCGCGCUGGACCGUGCAUAAGUCUCCUGGAAUGGAGCGUCAUAGAGGGUGAGAAUCCCGUCUUUGGCAUGGACCCCAGGGCUUCUGUGAUGCGCUCUCAAAGAGUCGAGUUGUUUGGGAAUGCAGCUCAAAAUGGGUGGUGAACUCCAUCUAAAGCUAAAUAUUGGCGAGAGACCGAUAGCGAACAAGUACCGUGAGGGAAAGAUGAAAAGCACUUUGGAAAGAGAGUGAAACAGUACGUGAAAUUGUUGAAAGGGAAACGCUUGAAGUCAGUCGCGUYGACCGAGACUCAGCCUUGCCUCGGCUUGGUGUACUUCUCGGCUGACGGGUCAGCAUCAAUUUCGAUCCUUGGAUAAUGGCAAGGGAAAGGUAGCACCUUUACCGGUGUGUUAUAGUCCUCUGUCGCAUGCAAGGGUCGGGAUUGAGGAACUCAGCAUGCACCUUUUCGGUGUCGGGGCCUCGGCCUACGUUACGUGCUUAGGAUGCUGGCAUAAUGGCUUUAAACGACCCGUCUUGAAACACGGACCAAGGAGUCUAACAUGCACGCGAGUGUUCGGGUGGAAAACCCGUGCGCGUAAUGAAAGUAAAAGUUGGGACCUCUGUCGUGGAGGGCACCGACGCCCGGACCAGACCUUCUGUGACGGCUCUGCGGUAGAGCGUGUAUGUUGGGACCCGAAAGAUGGUGAACUAUGCCUGAAUAGGGUGAAGCCAGAGGAAACUCUGGUGGAGGCUCGUAGCGAUUCUGACGUGCAAAUCGAUCGUCAAAUUUGGGUAUAGGGGCGAAAGACUAAUCGAACCAUCUAGUAGCUGGUUCCUGCCGAAUCUCCCUUUCAGGAAAAAAAACCGCUACUAGAAGGUUCGAUAAGCCUUCGCCUAUACCAAUUUGACGAUGAUUUGCCGUCAGAAUCCUACAAGCUCCCCAGAAUUUCCCUGGCUUACUAA
rnacentral:rRNA from 1 species